rnacentral:rRNA from 1 species
AGCGAACGCUGGCGGCAGGCCUAACACAUGCAAGUCGAACGAACCUUUCGGGGUUAGUGGCGGACGGGUGAGUAACACGUGGGAACGUGCCUUUAGGUUCGGAAUAACUCAGGGAAACUUGUGCUAAUACCGAAUGUGCCCUUCGGGGGCAAGAUUUAUCGGCUUUAGAGCGGCCCGCGUCUGAUUAGCUAGUUGGUUGAGGUAAUGGCUCACCAAGGCGACGAUCAGUAGCUGGUCUGAGAGGAUGAUCAGCCACAUUGGGACUGAGACACGGCCCAAACUCCUACGGGAGGCAGCAGUGGGGAAUCUUGCGCAAUGGGCGAAAGCCUGACGCAGCCAUGCCGCGUGAAUGAUGAAGGUCUUAGGAUUGUAAAAUUCUUUCACCGGGGACGAUAAUGACGGUACCCGGAGAAGAAGCCCCGGCUAACUUCGUG